UAGAUGGUGAUGGUCACUACUGGAGGGCAGAUGUUAGGGCUCAGAGAGCGUGACGGACCUAGAGCAUCAGGGAACUUCGGAGCGGGGGCCAAGGUUGUGGGGUGUUCAAGAGUGGGUGUACCCUUCACCUCUCCUGAGCUGCUGUCUUCUCGUCUGCUAAGUGGGGAUUAUAAUACCUAUGCCGAAGGCUGAUGUUGGGAGUAAAUGGUCUCUGGGAUGUGAAACUGUUUGGAAGCUGGAUGGGCUCAUCGUGCUUGGUCUGGAGGCCUUGGGUCUGGAAGACCCGAAGUGUUCAAGAAAUGCACCCCUCCCAUCUUCUGAUGGGAUCUCGGACACUAUGGAGAGAGUUUUGGGU